AUUACGGAACAUGUAUUCUAUGGUGCCGAGGAGGACUAUAAAUUUGCAAGUGCCGGAACAGCGGUCUCUUUGCAGACAUGAGUGGAAAAGAGGUGAGUCGUCGUUUAUGGCAAUAGUUGCUUGCGUUUAUGGAAGUUGGAAUGGAGCCGGUAUUGAUAUAUUAUUGGCUGGCUAUCCUUGCUCCGGCCAAACGCUACGGCGGUUAGUUUCUUUCCGCAAUGAAGUAGCUAUUUAACGUUACCUAGUGAACAGAUGAUCGGAAGAAUUUAGUUUUAGUCGUCAGGCAAGACAAAUGGCUAUAACAUUAAGUGGUAAGGAAGCUCCUAGCUAAACCUUAGACAAAAAAAUGCUGAACCAAUGCUGCCUCUAGUACUGGCUAAAAUAUAUCUAGAUAAGUAAUUUUUAAAUGACGUCCAGCUAACUCGUUCAGCUAACAGUUGUGUUUUAUUGGCUGCCAUUUACUAGUUUUGGCGAUAAGUUGCCACGGCUAACUAGCCUGUAAAAUGACUGGCACGUUUCACAUGCAAGGCCUAGAUGACACGUGGUGCCGUGCAAAAGAUGGGCCUAGUUAGUUAUUGUAGCCAAGUUGGCUAGCCAGUGUGUAAAACCGAGAUGGAUACCAUUUGUUUAAUGCAAUAACGUUGUCACAACUCAUGCAUUCCUUGUCUUUACCCUCACAGGUUGUGCCACUAUUCAGGUCUUCAGACAUGGGAGGGCUUCAAAUGGGAAUAACAUGAUCCCUUUCAAGCAUGCGGACUGAAAGAAUUGCAUCAACUCUUAAGGAAAGCAUGCUCCAUCAACUCCAUUGAAGGUGAUUCAACUCUAUUCAAUGUGUUUGAAGACUAAGCAUGGAACUGCUGGGACUGGCUUGAUGGUUAAAUGGAAAAGGUAUUGAAGGAAUACAUGCUGAUUGUUUGACAUUCAAUGGAGUUGAAGCAUAGAAGGUUGACCAAACAUGGUGCUGCUUGGACUGGAUUGCUGUUUCAUUGAGUCGAUGCAAGACGAUGCAGAUUGUAUGGAAUGCGACAACUCCAUUGAAGGUGAGGCUGGAUCAGAUUUUGUGCAGCUAAAUGACAAACAUGUACUGUGAAGUAAAACAAUUAUCACCACUUACUGUUUAGUGCAGAGUCUUUGUAACCCUGAGCACAGUUCUUUCCUGAAUUGCUCACUCUCUAUUGCUUAUUCUUUAUGAUUUGUCUUCCAAAGACGGACAAAAAGCAGGAAGCAGCUUGGACAGUAAUUGAUGCCUGAACUUCAAGUUAAUGUAGUUCAAGUUUUUUUUCUGGGAGGAUAGAACAGGACUUCAGUUCAAGUAGUUUAUCUACAACAAUCUGACUAGUAGAGCUGAGAUGCUUGCAUUUGCAAUAUGUUGAAUGUAUAUUGUGUCAACAGGAUGCCACAGGAUUGUUUCUUUCUGGACUUGGGUGGUGUACAGAAUGUUACAUCCUGCAGAUGAUUCACUAAACUCCAGGCCAGACUGUUUGUCUCAGCCACCAUCAGCUGUGUUCACAUGGCCCUUUGACACAUCCUGGAGUGUCAUUGCAUAAUCCUCUUGUCUUGCAAUGUCUGGUUUCUGAACAAAUGUACCACAUAAUGAAUUGUUGAAUGUUUUGCCUUGACUAUGGUCCCGACUGCAUAAACAUGGGGACCUUCUCAAUCAGUGAACAAUAAAAUUGAACUUUGUAAAUUUAUUUUGUCAUUAAUUAUAAUAGAUUUUAGCUAAUAGCAUUGAAAUAAUGUUAACU
rnacentral:lncRNA from 1 species